UGGGAAUGGAAGGAGCUUUAGACAUCAACUCCAUUCCCUUCAUUUUCUAGAUAAGGAAACUGGGGUACAAGAUGUCAAGGAACAAGCUUGACAUUUACAUUCAAAAGUCCCACAUUUUUUUCUUGGCUUUAUCUUUCACUCCCUUUUGUGACCCCGGUCUUUGCCAUGAGCUCAGGACAGGGACAUCUGCAUGCAUCUGUGAUCCUUUUCCCCUGGACCUUUCUCAUCAUAGACCUCUCACCCGGGUGAGGGAAGUGAAAAGGGACAGAAAUUAUUGAUAGUAUUAUAAAAAGAAGAAAAAGAAAAAGGACAAGAGUAAGAAGAAGGAAGAGAAAGAGGAAGAAAAUGAUAAUUGAAAGAUUUUUUAAAUGACUACGAAAGAAUAGGACAUUCAGAAGAAAGAAACACAAGAAAGCAAGAUGGCUUUCAAAAUAAGUUGAAUUUAUUAUGUAUGCUUUAUAAAAAGAAAGCUGUGUGUCAGAUAUUUGUGGUUUCAUAUGUAAUCUCUUUUUGUUGUUUUACUUUUAUAUUGAAAUGUUAAUAUUUUUGGAAUAGAUUAAGUUAUUUAGUAAAAAUGAUUCUUUAAAAAAGUAACUUGUCAUUCAUAAUUUAGAUGUGAUGUUUUACAUGAAUUUGUCUUGCUGAAUAUUUAUAAUUCUUUCCCAUGGCUUUGUAGGUCCUGCUUAUGUAUAUGUCCUUAAUGCAGUAAAUAUUUGUCAAGCAUCUACUAUGCAUCCCACACAAUGCCAGACCCUCUGGAGUAUGCUAAGAAAUCUGCAAAAGACUCUUGACCUCUUGGAGCUUACAAUUUUGUUGUUGAGACAAUUAAAAACAUGUGUGAAACAAUUAUUCAACAGUGUACAAGAAUAAAAUGAUGAAAUUCAAUGAAGGGACUCUACA
rnacentral:lncRNA from 1 species